GCCUACCGUGGGAAAGUCGGGUUUAAAUUUCCCAGGCGCUGCCGCUGGAGCUGGAAGGGUUUUGUUUUUCUUUUGCGGAAGGGAAAGAUCAGACUACAUGCAUGUAGAUUCCGUGGAUCAACAUAAAGAACAUCUUGCCCAGUUGGUGGGAUUAUCUGAUAAUGUCAGGUUUGGGCAACUGUUGCCCAGAAAAGAAAAUGGCCGCUGAGCAGCAUGACACUGUGCCUUUGAGUCUCCAGCUGGCAGCCAGGGUACGGCCAGGGGUGAAAACUGAGACAGUGACCCUUGAGGUGAGGACUGAAAAAGGCCAUCACGCUGUGCAAGCUGUGAACACUGGGGAAUUCUGGGAAGGAAAUGUAUUGGACCACUUAAAACGGGAGAACGUGAAGCCAUGGGAAACUCAGUUCCAAGAAUUCCUAAAGGUAAUGGAGACCUCUCAGUCAGAGGGGAGAAAUCCGCAUCAACUAGGGCUGGUGGGAAGAGAUGAGGCCAGGCAGCACCCAAGAGGAUGGAGGCUGACCCAAGACCUCAGCAGAGAAGCCCAGCAUGGGGAUACCAGCCAAGAAGAGUGUGGGAAGGUGAAGGAAGAAAUCCCGGAGGAAGGGACCGUCAGUGCCGAAGUGCAAUGCUGGCGCUUCCGGACAUACCGCUACCAAGAGGCCAAGGGGCCGCGAGAGGCUUGUGGCCGCCUCUGGGAGCUUGGCCAUCAGUGGCUAAAGCCGGAACGACAUACCAGAGAAAGGAUCUUGGAGCUGGUGAUCCUGGAACAGUUCCUGACUGUCCUGCCCCUGGAAAUGCAGAAGUGGGUUAGGAAAGGCAGGCCGGAGACCUGUGCCCAAGCGGUGGCCCUGGCAGAGGAUUUCCUGCGAUGUCCACCCAAGGACAAGCAGGAGGAGCAGGUUUCGAGACCAUUCAAGGAUGGGGCAGCUGGUUUUCCUGAUGUGGAUGGGCCUCCUUCCAACCCCUGGCAGUGCCAGCUGUUCAGGGAGAUCAAACAGGAGGGUGACAGAGGGGCCACCUCGCUGGCAGGAGAUGGGAAGGAGCAGAAUCAGCCAGAAAAUUCGAGGAAACCCAAGCCACGCUGGAUGUUUUCGGGAAGAGCCAGGCAAAGCAUUCCUUGGCCUGAUCGAGGAGGCGCUUCUGUGAACCAGGAGGAAACAUACCCGGAGAAGGAGCGGGACAAGUUUAUUAAUUCUCAGGGCAGAUACGUGGAACUGGAGGGCAAUGUAGUCCAGCUAACGAUCCCCUCAGGGGAAGCACAGAAGUUGGGAAACGAGAGGGAGAAGGCAUGCGUUCAUUGCGGGAAAGACUUCCAGCUGAAGUGUAACCUUCAAGCCCAUGAGAGGACCCACACAGGAGAGAAACCAUUCAAGUGUUCUGUUUGCGGGAAGGGCUUCAGCACAAGAGCCUACCUGAUCACUCAUGAGAGGAUCCACACAGGUGAGAAACCCUACCAGUGCUCUGACUGCGGGAAGAGCUUCUGUGACAACUCUAACCUGAUCGUCCACAAAAGGACCCACACAGGAGAGAGGCCGUACAAAUGCACUGACUGUGGGAAGAGCUUCCGGGAACGGCCCGUCCUCAUCAGGCACCAAAGGAUCCACACAGGUGAGAAGCCAUACAAAUGCAGAGACUGCGGGAAGAGCUUCAGCCAGAGCUCCGGCCUCCUGGUGCACGAGAGAACUCACACGCGAGAGAAACCGUACACAUGCACUGACUGUGGGAAAAGCUUUGGGGGCAAUUCGAACUUGCGAGUGCACAUGAGAAUCCACACAGGAGAGAAGCCCUGCAAAUGCUCGGACUGCGGGAAGAUCUUCAGCGACCGGUCACUCCUCCUUCGGCAUCAGAGCAGCACCCACCAAGAAGGAAAGAGCUAAACACAGAUUGUGGUUGUCCCAGUGGGUAGGGCACUUCCACACUGUUCAAGAACUCUAGGACAUUUAGAAACAUGAUGUUUGGCACCCAUGGAGUUGAGACCUACCCUGACGACUAGUUGAACAUGAAACACAGAAGAAUUAUUGCAUGAGGGGAAUUUGAUUUCUCCUUCACACUUCCAUUGGCAUUGGGGGUGGGAGGGGGGGGGUAGGGAUGCGUCUAGUGCCGCCCUAGGAAUGUGUUUAUCUAUGCUUGCACAACUUAGGCUAAAUUUACUUGUAGGAUACAAAACUGUAGGAUAUAUAGUACGUAUUUAUUACCACAGGAGGAAAACUUGGGUUGAGUUUGGUUUAGCUUAGUCUGUAGCAAUUCUGCUGGUGGAGAGUUGACUAUAACCUCUGCUAUAGAUAUUUAUUGAAAGCCCCUCGCUCAGUGCUAGGGUGAUGCAUGCAGGAAGAUCCUUGUCAUCGUAGGAAGGUUCUCGGGGUGUUGUGCUGCGACAGUGACCUUUGUCUGACAUCCUGGAGAACUGUUGCUGGCUGGACCAGAGAUCCUCAACGUGGUGCCUAUGGUGCCCACGAAGUAUUCUUAGAAUGUGGGUGUGGCCAUAUAGGACCUGUGUCCAGCAAGGCUUCUGAUUGACCAUUGGGGAUUUUAUUGACUGCUCAGAUUUUUUAAAACAUUGAUUUGUCAGCAUCUGCAAUGAUCUUCACUGUGUGACUGAAAGUAAGCUGUGGCAGCCAUUUUGUGGCUGCACCCAGCACAGUAUAUCAGAAUUCCAAAGGUGUUCACAGGCUCAGAUUGGUUAGGGACCCUUGAAAUAGACAAUAUUGGGCUAGGUGUAUUAGCAGCCUGACUUGACAGAAGAGUACAGUCAUGGGUCCCCAUCAGGCCAUUGUGUUUUGGGCAGUGGCCAAGGUCUAUUCUUGGGAAUUCUUGGGUUAAAAGUUUAAACGUAAGCCGAGCUGGGAAAGUACAGGCUGGGUGAACAAUCAGUCUGAUUCUGUAUAAGGCUGCUUUAUACAGCACCCAUUUUGCCUAAGUCCCGCAUUCAGUUCCCCUUGCCCAACGCAUGUUGUCAAAAGAAUACCUCCCACAAGGGAGAAAACAGUGCGGAAAUAAUAGCAUAAGGGCUUGCUUUUUAAGAAGACGUUUUGGAGUGUCUGCUGUCCCACCCUCUCCAUUUUUGAGAGCCGUAAGGCCUUUCCUACAUUUUGGGCCCAUCCCUGUACAGCCCAUCCCAUGGGUAGGGUGUUACCUGCAUCUUCAGCAUGAAAUAAUUGCCCCUGAUCUCUGCCAGAUUACUGUUUUAUGGAUUUUGUUUAGUGGCCUCCUUUUCUAUUUUUAAAAAAUGGCAGUAGCAGAAGAAAUUACUGGACAGAAGAAAAAGAAAACUUUCUAAAGUGUUUCCAGUAGUAGAAUUGGGCCAUAGAAAUUGGCUUCUGAUGGGCAGCUGUUGUGUUUUAAAACAGGCCCCUUUUCUUACCUUUUGCCCAGGAACAAGCAGCUAAAUUUGUACAGGAGAAAGCCUUGUAAGCCUGUUCACACCUGGGAAGAGAUUGUAGAACCUUCUUCCUGUGUCUCCUCCUGCAGUUUGUGAACAAGAGAAAUGCCCAUCUGGAUUUGACCAGCAACCCAUCUGAUCUGGCAUCCUGUUUUGCACAGAUGCGAUAUCAGAUAAUUUUGAAAGUAGAGACCUAGGGCUGUCCUCUGCUUUAGCCUGAAUAGCCCAAGCUAGCCUGAUCUCAUCCGAUUUCAGAAGCUAAGCAGAGUCAGCCCUAGCUAGCUCUUGGAUGGGAGACUGCCGAGGAAAUGCAUAACCUCUGUGCGGAGGCAAGCCGGGGCAAAACAUCUCUGAAGGAAUUUGCUUGGAUAAUUCUACAGCAGGGGUCUGCAACCUGCGGCUCUCCAGAUGUUCAUGGAUUACAAUUCCCA